GUAUAGCAAUAGCUAAUUGCAUCAAUGUUUAAAUAAUUGAUGCAAUAUCGACUAUGUCGAAUAAAAUUCUAGGUAGAAUUAUGAUAAUGACAUUGUCUACCUAUGUGUCUUGACCAAAUUACGUGCCAGCAGUCGCGGUAAUACGUAGAAGACUAGUGUUAUUCAUCUUUAAUAGGUUUAAAGGGUACCUAGACGGUAAAUCAAGCCUGCAAUAUGGGACUAAUAUACUAGAGUUACUUACGAGGGGGUAUUAAAGUACUGCUGGUGUAGAGAUGAAAUUCUGUCAUACCUCGUUUCGAAAGAAACACUAUGGCACAGGUAUAGGCGAAAGCAUCCCCUUAUGUGAUAACUGACGUUGAAGGACGAAGGCUUUGUGUAGCGAACAGGAUUAGAUACCCCAGUAGUCAAAGCAGAAAAUGAUGAAUGUCAUAGAUUAGAUGUAUAGUUUAUUCUAUAAAUGAAAGUGUAAGCAUUCCACCUCAAGAGUAAUUUGGCAACAUUGGAACUGAAAUCAUUAGACCGUUUCUGAAACCAGUAGUGAAGUAUGUUGUUUAAUUUGAUGAUCCGCAAAAAACCUUACCACAAUUUGAAUAUUUAGAUUUUUAUUUUCUUUUCCUAAUAUUAGGAUCUAACUUUAAGUCUUAGAUAAGAAUUUAUUAGCUCAAUGGUAGAGCAGAAUAUUGAAGAAAAGAAAAUAAAUCCAUUUACAAGCGUUGCACGGCUGUCUUCAGUUAAUGUCGUGAGAUCAUGGUUAGUUCCAUUAAUUAACGUAAACCCUUACUUUAUUUUUAUAUA
rnacentral:rRNA from 1 species